rnacentral:lncRNA from 1 species
AUCCCCAUUUUUGAUUAGUUUGCACAAUUUACAAAACAGGUUAUAAAAAUGGACUGACCUCUAAAGGUACCUCCUGCCUUUUAAAUGGACCACUCUUUUUCUACUGCUCUUCAGUCUGUUCUGCCCAAGGCCGUUGGGGUCCGACAGAGAUCAGCAGUGUUCCUGCAGAGAUGAAGCAGCUCGUCAAAACCCGAAUUAGAUGUUAAAUCUUUUUGAAGUGGGGAGGAGGUGGAGGGAGGGAGCCCCACUGUGCUAAAAAUUUAUCCUUUUUUUCCUUUUUUUCUGUGAGAUAAUGUCCCAGAAAAGAUUUGUUAUCCCCCAAGUUGCAAACUGCUGUUUCAGGCUGAUU